CCUACGGGGGGCAGCAGUGGGGAAUAUUGCACAAUGGGGGAAACCCUGAUGCAGCGACGCCGCGUGAGUGAAGAAGUAUUUCGGUAUGUAAAGCUCUAUCAGCAGGGAAGAAAAUGACGGUACCUGAUUAAGAAGCCCCGGCUAACUACGUGCCAGCAGCCGCGGUAAUACGGAGGGUGCGAGCGUUAUCCGGAUUUAUUGGGUUUAAAGGGUGCGCAGGCGGUCUGUCAAGUCAGCGGUCAAAGCCCGGGGCUCAACCCCGGGCCCGCGGUUGAAACUGCAGUCCUAGAGUGGGGGAGAAGUAUGCGGAAUGCGCGGUGUAGCGGUGAAAUGCAUAGAUAUCGCGCAGAACUCCGAUUGCGAAGGCAGCAUGCCGGCCCCACACUGACGCUGAGGCACGAAAGCGUGGGUAUCGAACAGGAUUAGAUACCCGAGUAGUC
rnacentral:rRNA from 1 species